GAUACAGUGUGAUAGAUAGGUUCGAUACAGUAUGAUAGAUAGGAUAGAUACAGUAUGACAGAUAGGUUCGAUACAGUAUGAUAGAUAGGUUCGAUACAGUGUGAUAGAUAGGAUAGAUACAGUGUGAUAGAUACAGUAUGAUAGAUACAGUGUGAUAGAUACAGUAUGAUAGAUACAGUGUGAUAGAUACAGUGUGAUAGAUAGGUUCGAUACAGUGUGAUAGAUAGGUUAGAUACAGUAUGAUAGAUACAGUAUGAUAGAUAGGUUCGAUACAGUGUGAUAGAUAGGUUAGAUACAGUGUGAUAGAUACAGUGUGAUAGAUACAGUGUGAUAGAUACAGUGUGAUAGAUAGGUUCGAUACAGUGUGAUAGAUAGGAUAGAUACAGUAUGAUAGAUACAGUAUGAUAGAUAGGAUAGAUACAGUGUGAUAGAUAGGUUCGAUACAGUAUGAUAGAUGUGAUAGAUAGGAUAGAUACAGUAUGAUAGAUACAGUAUGAGAGAUAGGUUAGAUACAGUAUGAUAGAUAGGUUAGAUACAGUAUGAUACAUAGGUUCGAUACAGUGUGAUAGAUAGGAUAGAUACAGUAUGAUAGAUACAGUAUGAUAGAUAGG
ensembl:lncRNA